rnacentral:rRNA from 1 species
UACGUAGGUGGCGAGCGUUAUCCGGAAUUAUUGGGCGUAAAGGGUGCGUAGGCGGGCUGUUAAGUCAGCGGUCAAAUGUCGGGGCUCAACCCCGGCCUGCCGUUGAAACUGGCGGCCUCGAGUGGGCGAAGGGUAGGCGGAAUGCGUGGUGUAGCGGUGAAAUGCAUAGAUAUCACGCAGAACUCCGAUCGCGAAGGCAGCCUACCGGCGCGCUACUGACGCUCAUGCACGAAAGCGUGGGUAUCGAACAGG